GUGGCCUCCCUUGUACUGUUCAACGACGAUUUCAAAACAAAACAUUUACGUUCUAACUUCUAAGUUAAUGCAAUAGUUUACUGAAUAAAUAUGUUUAUUUGCAGAUCUUCUUUAAAGUGAAAACGAAAUCUACGCUAUGGGAAUAACAAGGGACUCGAGAUGCCGAGGCUCAGUACCGUCCCCUGUGAACAUUCCUACACAGUUGUUCAAAUACACCCUAAGACGUGAAACAGGGACUGCCUACAUCAGUGAUUCUCAUGCGCAGAACUUAGUGGAUGACUAUGUGUCACAGUUAAUGCCACAACUUUUUAGAGAGAAAGAGUUUAGACUGGGACAAAUCAAUAAAGUCUUCUCUGCUAAAUGGUUGAACCACAAGCAAGUUGUUUUUGGAACCAAAUGCAAUAAGUUGAAGGUGCUUGACACUCAGACUAGUGAUGUGGUUGUCAUCCCAUCGUUAAAGAGCAGCAGUCGAAGCGUGCCCGCAGAGUGCCCGUGCGGAAUCCACAGUGUCGCCAUUAACCCGUCUCACACACUGCUUGCCACAGGGGCUGAGUUUACCAACGAUGUUGCUGUGUAUAAACUGCCGUCAUUUGAUCCGUAUUGUGUUGGGGAGAGGGCACACACUGACUGGAUAUUUGACUUAUGUUGGCUUGAUGAUGAGUAUUUGGUAACAGGAUCUCGAGACAGCAAUCUUGGCCUCUGGCACAUAGACGACGUGGAUAGUGGGGAGACCUCGCCUCUCUGGAGCCUGCAGGUGCCCGAAUACAGUAUUAAAAAUCCAGUUGUCGUGAAACGCUGUGGAACUGCAAAGAGGGUUCGAGCAUUGGGAUGCCUUCAGAAAAGAAAGGAAGUAGGCGUACUGUCUCUGAAUGGAUUGUUUCAUAUAUGGGAUGUGGAAUCAUUUUCACCAUCCCAGUGUCGUAAGUUGCCCAGCAAUAUAGAGAAUGUGUGUAUGUGUGUGUCUCAAGAGAAGACGCUGUAUGGGGUCGGCUCACAGUGUCAUGUGUUCCUUAUUGACCCACGGAUGAAGACUACUCUGUCUGUAGAGUCCAAGUUUGGGAAAGUGGGCAUUCGGUCAGUGAGUUUCAGAAACGAUAUCAUAACGUUCGGAACAGGCAUGGGACAUAUCCUAUUUUACGACCUGAGAGCAAAGAAGUACCUUGAAAGUGGGUGUGGCCAUUUCUGCUCACUUAGACUUGGUAAAGGCUGGAUGCUUCACGAUGACAACUACUCACAGCUGUACAACCAGAACAUUGAGAAUGCCAUAUAUGCACACGAGUAUGAUGAGACUGGAACCAGAAUGUUUGUGGCGGGGGGACCCCUACCAACCUCACUGUGGGGCAAUUAUGCAGGACUCUGGUCUUAGGUUAUGCUGCACUGUCAGUAGGGGUUAUGCCCCACAGUGGUAUUAGGUUAUGCAUUGCUGUUGUGUCAGUUAUGCAGUGAUAUUGGUAAUGCAGUACUAUGGUAGAAGGUCAACAGUAUGUGCGGUUAUCCAUUGCUGUUGUGUCAGUUAUGCAGGACAGUGGUGUUGGUUAUGCAACAUUGUGAUUGAUGAUUGGCUGAAUGCAAUAAAGUCUCUAGAAUUUCGUUUCAUAUGUGUUAAUUUUUCUGUUAAGUUUUUUUAUAAUGGUUUCAAGAAAAAACACAGUUUCACUUGUGAUUUUCUUUGCCAUUUCCUUUAGUAUUUCAGGUAAUUUGUUCUCAAGAUUUUAAUAUUUUUAAAAGAUUUUGAUAUUUAAAUCAGACAUUUAGUACUUAAGAUUAUUAAGUUUGCAUAAUUUAUCUCAGACAGAGCAGCUUUGGUUCUUUUUAUGCUCCCAAAGGGUGGCAUAUAGUUUUUUAGCAUAGGUGCGUUUACGCACCUAUGCUUAUGGUAUAUACCACAUUUCAAAAAUCCACAUCGCUCGGUUACCCAUUAUGAAGCCUUACCUGAUCAAAAAUCAGACGAAAUAUUUAUUUAAUUUAGUAUAUGGUCAUUCUUACAAAAAAAAAUUGGAAACGUUUUUCUAACGUUUUCUUCCAAGAAUAUUGCUGACACCGUUUUUAGUGAAUUUUUCUAAGACCGUUUUAUGUCAAAAAAUCUUCUUAUAACCUAAAACAAAUUUCGUUCGUAAAACAAUUCUAUCUGCACUAUAAAUCUCAAUCUCCUACGCAGUGGCCUCCCUUAUACUAGAAGUUACUGACCGGGCGAAGCAAGGGAAGUAAAUGCUUUGAGGAGUUUCUAUAAAAAUCUGCAUUCAGAAAUCUGUAUUCAGAACUCAAUCUGUUGUGCACGUCUGCAUCUAACGCUUACCACAAGUUUUACGACAAAUUCUUGACGCAGACGAAUAGGGUAGCGUCUAUUUUCAUUUGUGAAAAGAUACAGAUCUGUCCGUGCUUAAAUUUUUAAUAGGCUUGGGUAAUUAUUUUUCAUAAGCGUUUCAAACACUGAUGUAAAUGGAAAGAUUAUCUAUUUAAAUAGUCGGUAAUUGUUUGAAAUUAUUGAUUUGAGAAAUUCGCGGAUGGCGAUAUCGAACUACAUUAUACCACGUGACGCCAUUCUUCCCUGUAUCUUGCACCUAUGCUUUUAACGCCAUCGGCGCUCUCGUUAACUGUCUGUCAGUCCAUUUGUCUGUCUGUCUGUCAGUCUGUCCGUCGGAAAACUUUUACAUUGGUCAUAACUUUUGCAAUAUAUUGAAGAUAGCAACUUGAUAUUUGGCAUUCAUGUGUAUCUCAUGGAGCUGCACAUUUUGAGUGGUGAAAGGUCAAGGUCAUCCUUCAAGGUCAAAGGUAAAAUAUAUGGCUUCAAAGCGGUGCAGAAGGGGGCAUUGUGGUUCUGACAAACACAUCUCUUGUUUUUAAAGAAAACACGUUUUUGAAGCUAGAAAGAUAUUGUUUAAAAGCAUCAAACACAGGUGGCUUUAUAAAGACUUGUAGAUCUAUAUUUUUCCUUUGUAAUACAUAUCCCAAGUAUGAAUGCCUUUAUUGUCAAGCAUAUUUCAAAGUUGAUAAUUUUUAUGUCCCAACCACUAUAGUGGGGGACAUAUUGUUUUUGCCCUGUCUGUUGGUUGGUUGGUUUGUUUGCUCCAACUUUAACAUUUUGCCAUAACUUUUGCAAUAUUGAAGUCAAUAAGCAUUUCUUUUCCUUCAAACCAUGCUCUAAAUGUGUUCCAUUUGCAUGAAAACGAAAAAAAAGUAUUCAAAUGAAGAAGAAGUGUGUGACAUUGAGAAUGGCUGAUUGGUAGGUAUAUACAACUUUUUAGUAAAAUGGGGGUAUUAGUGAAUGCCAUUUUUGCCAUAGUAAAAUGUAAAAUGGUUAGUGACUUACUGCCCCAUCUUUGAUGACAGUUUGUCCUUCUAACUACUUUGUCAAGUUUUGUUUGAUAGACAUGAAUAUUUUCAGGCUUUAUAUUUAAAAGGGUUUGUAGUGCUUGACAUAACAUAAUAAGUUCUAGAUUGGUCUCACUUAAGAUGGCCGACACGCUUCCAUAUUGGAUUUUUUAUUCCACAAAACUUCAUGCAAUUAAUCAAAUUAAAACCGUUUUAUAUUUGACUUAUUAUUUUUUUCUACAAAAUUCAAAGGAAUCAAGUGUUGGCCAAUAAUUUUGAUUGUAUUUGAAUAGCUGGUAGCCAUUUUGUCAUGUCACCUACAUGAUGAGGAAAAGUAUUUGAUUUUCUGUUUGUCCUUAGAACCUUUUUUUAUUUGUUAAAAUUCAAUUUACUUGAAAAUGUCUUCACUUUUUAAAUAUAUAAAUAGUGGAAUGCUUAUCAAAAUGUUUGCAUUGAACAGAUUCAAGAUGAGCUAGUGACGGCCAUCUUGGACAAAAUUGUCUUCAAGAUAUAUAUAUAUAUAUAUACAUUUGGAAAUGAAGUGCAGGAUUUUUAAAUAAUGUUUAUCUAUUUGAGACUUAGUGUAUUGUACACAAAUCUACAUUGGUCCAUUGAGGUUGAAGGUCAUGUUUAGACUUGAAAGGUCAAAAUACAACACACCUGGGUCAAAGCGGUAUGUUGGGGUAUUGAUCAUCUUCAGUAAUAGAUCUAGUUGCUUGUGUGUUGUUCAUCUGUAAACUGUACCAUUGAUACCAGAUCUUCUUCAAUUUGUUAUGAAGUGGAUAGAACACAUUUUUAACCAAAAACUGUCCUGAAGUUAUGUAGUGUUAGUAAGAAAUACUCAAACUAAUUCCUUAUGUUCUGUAAGGUAGAACAGUCUCCAACAUUCAAACAUCAAAUUUACUGAAAAUAUCUUUUACAGAUGUAGCCAGUCAAAUUUUCUCUUCAGCUGAAUUUUUAAUUGCUGAAAACUUCAUUGAAUAGUUGUUGAACUGUAUUAAAUCAAUAUUAAAUGCUAAGAUUUAAAAAAUGGGAUAUGGUUUCCAGCAGCUGGAAUGUUUUCUCAAAAUCUACAUCCUUGAGGUCUUACCAAGGUCCACAUGGAACAAAUCAGAAGUUUUAUUGCAUAUAAAUUGUUGUGUAAAAUAGUUAUGCUAUUGAUGUAUAAGAAAACUUUGGCUUGAAGCAUUGAUAUAUGUGUGUAUGUACAAUUCUGAUGUAAGCAUUCUGUGUAUAUACUGCUAUUUAUUUUAUAGGUUGUAAAGAAUUGAGCUUAAAGUCUCUAUAACGCUCAAAAUCAACGAAAAUUUCGUAAAGUAUUUCGUAUAAUAUAAAUAAAACCUAAACAAUCAGUGUUCCUUAUAGCAAUAGCCAAAAGUUCUACGCUAGAUGUGGUAUGAUUACAUAGAUUUUUGUAGAUACAAAAUGCUUGUUUUUAUUUAUUUGUGGACACAAUAAAUUCCAUGCUAAUUUCCAGCGAAUAUAUCUAUUUAUAGGACACACAAACACUAAAAUGGUACCAUGUUAAAACCAUAAUAAAAACGAGCAUUUUGUAUCCACAAACAUCUUUUUUACUAGACCACAUCUGGCAUUGAAAUUUCAGCAAUUACCAUAAGGAACAAUGAUUUUUAAUUAUUUAGCUUUAUUUUUUACGAAAUAUUGUACGAAAUUUUCGUUGAUUUUGAGUAGUAAUGUUAAUUUAAAUAUAGCUAGUAUCAAACCAAAACUCACCUAGUUUGGUCAUGUAAGAGAAGAAACACCAUAUGAAUUAAAAUUACUUUGCUGGCAGUUUAAUUUUGCCGUUAAUUUUACUGUGAAAAGAAUUUAUCGAAGUGAGUUAUGUCAGAAAAUUUUAUUGGACAUGUGUAUUGUCCCCUACCGGUGACUUAUGAAACUUAUUGAGAUUAUGCACAUCAUUUCAUAUUGUUCCGAUGUCAAAAAUUCUGGUUGCUAUGGCAACAAAUUUUUUUUUUUAAAUCUGACAUGGUGGAGUUUCACCGGUAGGAGACCAUAUUGCUUGGCAAUCUCUUGUUAACAUUGUGUUUAUGGUUACGUUAGAAUGCGUUUUUUUGCGAUUUGCCUGAAAUACUAGUACUUGGUGAUAAUAAUGGUGGGUGAAAUUACAUCAAACUAAUUCAUUAUUUUACUUGAGAGUGAAUUGAUAACAUCAUUAUAAUUAUGAUUGUCCAAUUGCUAUAAUUGCACAAAAUAAAAUGUAUUAUCUUUUUGUUAUAACAUGUUGGCAUUUAGUUUAUUUCAUAAUAACUCAAUGAGUUGGCGUCUUGUCCAUGCAUAUUUAAAUACAAAUGUUUAUUAUUAUAUAUUUUGUUAAUUCUUAUUAAUUUAAAACAUUUUUGUAAAUAAGAAAAUAACAAAGACAUGAAAUGGUUUGGAAAAGUUGACAAAGCCACGUCCAAGGAUAGUGUUGGUGUACAUAGUAUACUUUAGUAUGAAAACUUUGUAUAUAGAAAUUAAGCUUGUUUUAAUUGUUUGAUUUGAGCUGCAUCAUGUCAACAUGGGUCAUAGUCUCAUGUGCAUCCAGCGUUGCUCCAGACCAACCUGAGCAUCUGCACAGUUUUGCAUGACCUGGCUCAUUUCAUUAUUUUCAGAAUGCUUCAAGACUGUUACUUGAAUAAAAUAUAAAAACAUU